AAGCGCUACGAGGAGAAACACACACACGUCUCCCCAAUCCCAGCAGUACAGUGGCCGAGGCGUGACCUGGAACUCAGCCAUCCUGCAGCCAGGCCGGACCCCGAGGGACAGUGAGCCUCACUCCAUUUCCCAGGAAGCUUCCUGCUGGCUCUGCGGAUGUGCCCUGGGACAGGACAGGCCUUGGCUGUGACAGAAAACGACGCUGACCCGUUCCCAGCAUGCCUGCACUCCCUAACAGCCAAGUCCAAAGGAGGAGAAGUGGCCUUGCCAUAGCUCAGGCCCUCUCACUGCACACCAGCCGGGGAAAGGGAUGUCACGGGGGAACCAACCAGCCCCAGCCCCAGCCUCGCGGCAAGCAGUCAGAAUAGUCACUUCUGGCCGCUCCCCAGCCUGAGCCUGGGGUGGCCCAACGCCGUUACCUGCUGCUGGGCGAAGAAGUCCUUGACCAGGGAGCCCAUGACCUGCUGCGGGGACCGGGCGGUGCUGAUGUGGGGGAGGAUGAAGCUGCCGUGGGUCUUCUCGGCAUAGCAGAUCCAGCCUGAGGCGACAGGGGCACACGGGGCUGGCGGGGGCGCACGGCGGCCCCCGCACCCGCAGGCAGCAGCACGACAUUCUGGAGGCGGGCCCGCUCACACAGGAGAUCACGAUGACAUUAAAGAGUGCUCGUUCCUGUUCUUCCCACCACCACGUGGAGCUCAGCGUGCACGCAACACCGCCUAGGGACCUGAGGUGACUGCGGGUGGCUCCCAAGGGAGGGCAGCCCCUUCUCCACAAAAGGCCAUUUGUGCCAACAUUUCUAACCCGUCCUGCGAAACUGGCUUGCGUCUCCACUCCCUAUCCCCCGCCUUGUCAUCUGUGUCCAUAUCAUGUCACAUUUUAACUUAACUCGAACUUGACUCUCACACCACCCACACCAUGAGCACACCUGGGCAGGCGGAGGCCAGCAGGGGCAGGGCCUGUCUGCAGUCGGCCUGUCCUCGGAAUCGCCGCACAAACUCUCGCUGGCUCUCCAGGAGGCUGAAGUGCCUUGAGAAGGCGGUGUCGAAGACAAAGUGCACCCCUGGAAGGUGAAGGUGGGUGCCUGGCUAACCCCGCGCGGGAUGCCCACGCGAGUACACGCCUGUGUGUGGACCACCGUGGUGCUGCUGGGGGACGUGUGUGGCACCCGCUUCCCGUGCCAAAGCCCCCGCCCCACUGUGGGGACCUCCUUAAGCCGCGUUGCCUCGGCAUCCCCUGCGAAUGCAGGCCUUGCUUUCCCACCCCAGAGGCAGGGCAGCCGCUUGGCAGCUCAGUCCUCCACCCUCCCAGCUCCUUAGCAUGGCUGGUUCAGGGAACUGCCACGUGCGCUGCUCCCGGUGACCCUCCCUAGGGCACAGCUGGACGUGGCCUGCUGGACUGGCCCCUCGGACCCUGAGUGUGCAGACCUGCCACGGUGGCCGCCCCUCACACACAGCAGGACUCCUGGGACAGGCCCGCCGGCUCCACGCCCAGCAAUUAGAACUGCUUGGUAAACCUGCCUGAUCAUGCCCUGGACCCCAGCAGAGGCACCAGCGCAUGGGUCCCUCUCUCUCUGCCUGACCUGUCAUUCCUGCCUUGUGUAACCCAUGGUUGGAGGACUGCCUUCAGACUCACUGUGCCCCACCUGCCCAUGAUCUGUAAGUAAAAAUCUUUGAACUUACUUCCUAUUCCGGUGGGGCGAAACCCACACCUUCCACCUGGAGAACCACGGGCUGCCCCAGGCCAGGUUUUCCCUGAGACACCAGGUCAGGCUCCCAGUGCCAGAGCACUGCUCAGGCACCAACUGGACGUGGGUGUGGGUCAGACAAGAGCCAUGGGGCACCUGCCAGUGUCAACAGGUUUCCAAUGUGAGGGACCCAGGACACAGUUGGAUGACAGGCAGUCUGCCGGGUACAAAGCACACAGCCCUGCCUCACUGGGAACGAAGGGACUGGACGUGGCGGUUACCCGUGAAAGGCACACAGUAGCCAUGAGGUCCAGACCCUUCAUUCCCAGUGAGCCACCGGGCACAGGAGCCUGGUUAGCUGGGGGCUCUCAAGACACCCAAGCCCAGCUCCAGGCACACAACCGAAGUCCGCCGAAGCUGGCCUUAGCUGAACCCAGCAGAGCCCCGGAGAGAGUGCCUUAAUAUCAUCAGCUAAAAAAGUACAAGGAGUUGGUCAGCCCCAGCUUACAGAAAGUGCACAGUCAGAAUGCAGACGUUUUCUGUGAGAAGGCGCUGCUCUCAAA